rnacentral:tRNA from 1 species
GGCGAUGUAGCUCAUUGGUAGAGUGCUUGCCUAGCAUGUGCAAGUCUCUGGGUUUGAUCCCCAGCACCA